GCUGUGCCGUCUUCACGGAAUUGUGCACGCUUACUCUCAUAAUCCUUAUCCCACCUGUGCACCUUCUAGGGAGAACGAUGGGUUUUACGACCUGUCAUGAUCUCUAUAUACACACUCUUUAUGUCAAUGAAUGUUACUUGGCCGAAAGGCUAGAAUUAUAAACAACUUUUAACAACGGAUCUCUUGGCUCUCGCAUCGAUGAAGAACGCAGCGAAAUGCGAUAAGUAAUGUGAAUUGCAGAAUUCAGUGAAUCAUCGAAUCUUUGAACGCACCUUGCGCUCCCUGGUAUUCCGGGGAGCACGCCUGUUCGAGUGUUAUGAAACUAUCAAGCAAAAUUGGUUUUAUUACUGGUUUUGAUUGGAUUUGAACUUUGCUGCUCGAUUCACGUGGAAUAAGGGGUUAACGCCCCUCCUGUUGGAUUAGCUGCUGGUUUUAAAAGUAUUACCUUGGGCCCAAUUUAUUCUGGUUCUACUUACCGUGAUAAUUAUUCAUCGUUAAGGACACUUCUCUCAGGGAGUGGCCAGGGUGGUUGAGACUGCUUCUAAUCAAUCUUCGGACAAUUUAUAUUCAUAUCUGACCUCUAAUCAGGUGGGACUACCCGUUGAA
rnacentral:rRNA from 1 species